UUUUGCUUAAGGCUCGUACAGACUACAUGACUUUAAAACGUUGGUCCGAACUGUGCGGUUCACACUACAUGACUUGCUCUCUGUGAAAUCAGGAGUGUUCACGUUGUUGAUCAGUUCACACCACACGACAUAACGUGACUGCCCCACAACAGGAGGUAACGCACUACACGAGUUGAGAACAACUCUAUCACCCGGCGAUUCUAUCUUGUCCACAAACCACGUUUUGUCACGAAAAAUCACGCGAUAAAACAAACCGGAAAUGACGCGAAACAACACGCGCACCAGUAAACCCACAGAAGAAGAAUGAAGACGACGCGCAAAACUUUUGUUUGUAUAUAUAGACUUCAGACAGAAAUUCGUGCUGCAAACCGUUUGCGCGAUGCAAAGCCGCAAAAGAAAAAAAUGAAGAGAUGUGUAUGUGGAGAGGUGGAUCAACACCACACGAGGACAGCAGGGAUUUAAGAGUUGGAGAAUAGGACAGGCUUCGCAAAGCAUGACUUGGAGAGCGUUUGUCUUUGACCCUGCGAUUCUAUGCAACAGUGACACGUUCAAGUCCCUCAGGUUCAAGUCCAGGAUGGGGGACCAGCACCAUCUCACAAAUAGUUUUGGAUACCUGUUCUGUACCAGGUUAUAAAGGACGAUUUCUUGAAGACACCAUCAACGGAAGGAGAGUGGCAUAGCCGUGGACUUCGAAAAGAAGUGGCAGUUUCCACAUUGCUUUGGGGUACUUGCUACCACUUCAGCUGUAGCAGACUGCUGACCAAAACAUGGUUGAUGGGCAAUGGAAGAAUCGUGGGAUGGGUGCUUUUCAACCGAUGAACACCACCUCACAUCGCAAUUGUAUGGCAACAGCAAAAGUGCAACGCAAUCUGAUGCGGGAAUACUUUGUCUCACCAGCGUGUAGUGUUUAUUGGCAAGUUCAACACAUUUUAAAAGGAACUGAUGUAGAGUUAUCCCUGCAAACAGCAGAUUAAAGCCAGUUAUUGUCAGUUUAGGACAUUCGUUUUCUUGUGUGUUCUAAAGUCCUUUAUUUGUAAAGAACACAAUGUGGUUCACUUUUUCAUUGUUUUAAGUAUUCUGUUUAUUGUUGUGUUAUUAUUCAAUUAAUUUUAAUUGCAUACAAAAGGU